AAUUAGCGGCUGAAGCCUCGUUCAAAGCCUGCUUCCCCCCCUUCUUCUUCGCCCCCUUCCUUGGGAACCAAUUCCCUGCGAACUGCCCAGAGUUUCAGAUCUUUUUUCCUCGUUAAAUCUCUUCCCCAACUAAAUCUUGUUCGAUACGCGGAAUCACCUCACCUUCUUGCUCCAUCCUUUGUUCGAUCUGCAGAAUCACCUCACCUUCUCCUCCAUCCCCAUCUGUUUAUCAAGACAGUAUACGACGAUCCCGCUCAUUCGCUUGCAUUUCUCUGUCCAAAUGAAGAAUUGAGUUCUCUCGUUAUUUGACUGUACUGCUUUUCUUCUUCCUCUUUUUUCCCUCUUCCUUCGUCUUGCAUCAGCUUUCAUGGUAGAAGAAGCUCCCAAUGAUGCAAAGGAUGAGGUUACAGAAGCGAGUUUAUCUAUUCUCGACAAUGUCAUGGCAAUUUUUCCCGAUUGAGAUGAAAGCAUGGAAUUUGCUGAGUCUGUCAUUGAGCUGAACGGUUAUAUUCGUCUCUGGUCUGUUCGUAUUUCGUAUUGUAAAUGAUGUUGAGGUUCCAAAAGUACGCCCUGAGGCUCAACUCCACUACUUCUGGAAUUAAUCAAUUUCAUUGGGCCUCAUCUCAUCCAAUCAACCACUUUAUGCGUGAUGGCUUUAAAAUUGGAUUUUCUCUGGCUUUGUCAAAGGAAAGGAAAGGACAGGCCUUUACGAUGCACUUUCUCGGGAAUACAUUUCAUCGACUUGCCUUCAGUUGUUCUGUAGUUUCACUGCCUGAAAUUGCAGCUUGCCCCAUUUGAUCCUACUUACAAGAAGAAGAAGAAGAAGAAGAAGAAGAAGAAGAAGAAAGUCGUCGUUCUGGAUCUUGCAGACGACUCUGCGGACAAAUUGGCUGAUAAAACUGAGAAUUUGUCUGGUUCCUUGGAUGCGUGAACACACGCUUUUGGGCAAUUGGUUCCGAUCUUAAUCAACCAAAGAGUUAUUCGGAGUUUCAGUAUAGGUUCGGAGAGCUAAUCUGUUUCCCUUACUCUGCAGUUUCUGAUGGAACAGAUAAUACCUUCACUGGUUUAAAGAAGAAGAAGAAGAAGAAGAAGAAGAAGAAGAAACCCGCAGAGAGCAGCGCGUUGAAUGGUGAGAACGAACUUCUUACGGGUGGUUUGGAAGGUGACGAUGAAGAAAGAGAUGGAAUUCCUCCACAGCGCCGUUCCAGUUGGGAAGGGAGUGAUCGCAAUUACCAUUAUGAGGAGGGUGUUUAACAUCCUUCGUGAGAACAACCUGGAGCUCGCAGGAGAUAGGCGCCGCACAGUUAUGAGGCCUCUGCAGGUUCUUCGGGAGGGUACGAAGAAAACUGUUUUCGUAAACUUCAUGGAUCUCUGCAAGUCGAUGCAUCGCCAGCCCGACCGUGUUAUGGCCUUCUUGCUGGCAGGAUCACUGGAUGGGCAACAGAGAUUAGUUGUCAAAGGGAGAUUCGCUCCGAAAAAUUUUGAAGGGAUUCUGCGACGAUACAUUAGUACGUAAACUUUCCGCAUUAUUAGCAUUCUCUCCCGGGGAAAAUCGUCUCUUUUUUCUCAGAUGCGAGAAGUGCGGUUCUGGGAGAUCCGUUCUUCCAAUUAAAGCUGGUUUUCUUGCUCGUGUUGGACGUAGAAAUGCCGGGACAUGAAAUUCCAGCAAACUACCAUCGGUUAGUUCCGGCUUGCAGUUGGUGACGACGCCGCAUUUCCUGAAGGAAGGAGAUCUUCUGAACGUUGACAAGUUCUUGCAGUAAAUAUUAACGCUUCACGGCGGGAUAGUACUACAAAAUUUGGACUGCAAUUAUCUCAAGGAGAUUGUCAGAUGCAUAUAACAUCGAACAUCGAUUUUGCCAAUCCUGGAAUUCGACCAUAUGCAGAUCAAAAGACAGGAGCGUAACAAUUAGAAGCUUGGUUCGGAUGCUGUCCCAUUUCUGGUCAUCUCUUAUGUUAUAAUUACGUAUAUUGGACCAAAAGAAUCUCUACAUCAUACUAAUCUUUAAACAUUAAAUCUGUUCUA